rnacentral:rRNA from 1 species
UACGUAGGGCGCAAGCGUUGUCCGGAAUUAUUGGGCGUAAAGAGCUCGUAGGCGGUUUGUCGCGUCUGCUGUGAAAACCUGAGGCUCAACCUCGGGCUUGCAGUGGGUACGGGCAGACUAGAGUGUGGUAGGGGAGACUGGAAUUCCUGGUGUAGCGGUGGAAUGCGCAGAUAUCAGGAGGAACACCGAUGGCGAAGGCAGGUCUCUGGGCCACUACUGACGCUGAGAAGCGAAAGCAUGGGGAGCGAACAGG